GCCAGCCGGAGAAUUCCCAGGCCCUGGUAGAAUUCCAGAGCCUAGGGAAGGAGAGCACACGGAGUCCAGCUUCCCGUUCUCGCAGAAGUGGAGACUGGAGCCCAGAGAGGCUGUGAGAGCUGGCAGGCCCACACAGCGGGCUCGUGGCAGAGCCCAGGUGUCCUGACUUGGACAGCAGGGUUCCCCCACCGCGCCCACUGCCUCUAUUAUCUGCUAAGACCUACUUUUAGACCCAGGCAGGCACCUGCAAACAUCCCAACACCUCCACACGGCGGCGGAGGACAAAGAACGUGGGCCGACCGGGCUCCCUGGAGGGAGGCACAGCCCAGAUUCCCGGGGCAGCCAUCCUCCUCCUCUCUCCAGACUGGGGUGCCGGCUGUCUGCACCCCCCAACUCCUCCACACAUCCUUUCUGAGGCCCUGAGAGUAAGAGAGAGCACGUGAGCAGGGGAAG